UUCUGAUAUAUCACAUUCGUGGCUUAAAACAACACCGAUUUAUUUUUGUACAGUUCCGGAGGUCAGAAGUCCACAGUGGCUUUCACUGGGUUAAAAUCACGGUCUCUGUAGGGCUGUGUUCCUCUGGAGGUUUUAUGGGUAAAUCCACUUAAUUGCCUUUUCCACCUUUUAGAAGCUACCUGUAUUCCUGGUCUCCAGACGUCUUGCUCUAUCUUUUUUUUUUUUUUUUGAGACGCAAGCUCCGCCUCCCAGGUUCACGCCAUUCUCCUGCUUCAGCCUCCCGAGUAGCUGGGACUACAGGCGCCUGCCACGACGCCCGGCUAAGUUUUUGUAUUUUUAGUAGAGACGGGGUUUCACCGUGUUAGCCAGGAUGGCCUGGAUCUCCUGACCUCGUGAUCCGCCCGCCUUGGCCUCCCAGAGUGCUGGAUUCCAGGCGUGAGCCACCGCGCCCGGCCCCUCUUUCUCCAUCUUUAAAGACAGCAGGACAUGGAGAACAACCACGGCUGUGCCCGGUUCUUCAGGUGGCUGCCAGUCCCCCCGUGCCUGCUCCCUGUCCCUGCCUGCCUUCCCGCUGAUGAUGACUGACGUUCUGGGACGGAGGAGCAGGUUAGGCCUAGGUACAGUUGUGUGCUGGUAAAUUUGUAACAAAAGGCUCUCCAGGGGAAGAAAAGCCCUGAUUUUCAGUGUUUGCCAAUUUCCACGGUAUUAAAAGUACUCACACCAAGGCCGGUUUUAAGCAGUGCUCCUGAAGUCCCUGAAGACAGAGUUGAAAAGCAUCGUGCACAGUUGACUCUUCUAAGCUAGUCCGAGCUGGCUCCAACACACUACUGCCUAUAAAAAGAGGAAGUAUUCUAGAGAAUAUAAAAAGACUUCUUGAGUACUAAGAGGUCGUGAAGACAGCUUUGGAAAUGUUAUAAGCGUCAAGAUUCGCUCAAGAUACACCUGCUUCUCUUGCAAAAGUUACAGGUUCUGUUAGCUGCUUUCUCCAUUGACUUCUGUCUAAGCAAGCUGCCCCUAACUCCAGGUAUCUUAUUUGACGACUGCAGUACCUUUCCUUGACCUCUGGCUUUAAGAUGGACCUUGGUUUUGAAAAGCAUUUUACUUAUGCCUUCUUCUGUCCUGAAGUCUAGAAUAAACUUAAGGCCAGUACUUGCUUUCUGGAGCGUGGUCUGGUCAAAGUCCCCAUGGCUGCUGUAAUCAAUCUGAGAAAUCUGGAAGAUCAUGAAUGCCUAUGUAGAUCUCUUAAUUUGACAACUCUCAACACAGCUCAAGUUGGAUUUACUGAGUCCCCACUUUUUUUUUUCCCUUAUUUUAUUUGCUGUCCUCAUCCCUGCCGGAUGCUGAGUAAUCCCCGCCUCAGGAAUUUGUGGAUGUUGAGAUGAUGGACACAUAGGUACCAUGGAUAUGAAGUGAAGUGUACAUAGUAAAUAGAAGAGGGAGUCUAAAAGAAGAAAGUCUAUAAAUUUAGUCAAGAGGUAAACAACAACCAAGGAGAGAGAGUGGACUGGGCCCUUAUAAUAGCUAUUGAGAGAUGACAACGUGCUAUCAGCCCUUGAUCGCUCUUGGCACCUCCUCAGGCCAUGGCGUCCACUCUGGCCGAGCUUCCCGAAGCUCGGCACUGCACUGUGGGAGCCCCUCUCUGGGCUGGCCAAGGCCAGAGCCGGCUCCCUCUGCUUGCAGGGAGGUGUGGAGGGAGAGGCGCAGGCGGAACCCGGCUGCGCGGCGGUCGCAGGCCAGCUCGAGUUCCGGGUGGGCACGGGCUCAGUGGCCCUGCACUUAGAGUGGCAGGCCGGCGCUGCUGGUCCGUGCAGUGAGAGGCUUAGCACCUGGUUCAGCAACUACGGAGGGUGCAGCGGGCCCCCAGCAGUGCCGGCCCAUGGGUGCCACGCUCGAAUUCUCGCUGGGCCUCAGCUGCCUCCCCGCGGGGCAGGGCUCCAGACCUGCAGCCCGCCAUGCCCAAGCCUCCCCCGCCCCGUCGUGGGCUCCCACACGGCCCUACCCUCCCCAACGGGCAUCUCCCCCUGCUCCGCGGGGCCAGUCCCAUCCACCGCCCAAGGGCUGACGAGUGCGGGCGCGUGGCGCCGGACUGGUGAGCAGCUCCGCCUGCGGCCCCAGCGCAGGAUCCACUAGGGGAAGCCAGCUGGGCUCCUGAGUGGGGUGGGGACUUGGAGAACUUUUAUGUCUAGCUGGAGGAUUGUAUAUGUGCCAAUCAGCACUCUGCAUCUAGCUCGGAGUUUGUGGAUGCACCAAUCAGCACUCUGUAUCUAGCUAAUCUGGUGGGGACUCCGAGAACUUUUAUGUCUAGCUAAAGGAUUGUAACCGCACCAAUCUGUGCUCUGUGUCUAGUUUAUCUGGUGGGGACUUGGAGAACUUCUAUGUCUAGCUGGAGGGUUGUAAAUGCACAAAUCAGCACCCUGUGUCUAGCUCAAGGUUUGUAAAGGCACCAAUCAGUGCUCUGUGUCUAGCUAAUCUAGUGCGGACUUGGAGAAAUUUGUGUGUAGCUAAGGGAUUGUAAAUGCACCAAUCAGCACUCUGUGUCUAGCUCAAGGUUUGUGAAUGCACCAAUCAGCCCCUUGUCAAAACGGACCAAUCAGCUCUCUGUAAAACAGACCAAUCAGCAGAAUGUGGGUGGGGUCAGAUAAGUGAAUAAAAGCAGGCUGCCCGAGUCAGCGGCAGUAACGAUCUCUGCUUGGUGGAAGCUUUGUUCUCUUGCUCUUCGCGAUAAAUCUUGCUGCUGCUCACUCUUUGGGUGCGCACUGCCUUUGUGAGCUGUAACACUCACCACGAAGGUCUGCAGUUUCACUCCUGAAGCCAGCGAGACCACGAAGCCACCAGAAGGAAGAAACUCUGGACACAUCUGAACAUCUGAAGGAACAAACUCUGGACACACCAUCUUUAAGAACUGUAACACUGACCGCGAGGGUCCACGGCUUCAUUCUUGAAGUCAGCGAGACCAAGAACCCACCAAUUCCGGACACACGAUGAAGUGGGUUAGGGAAGAAUUUGGAGCAAGGGCUAGGGAUUUGUGAAAUGUGAACUCCCCUCCAGCACCAGGUGAUGAUUGGCACAUGUGGGUCCUCUAAAUGUGGCUGCCCAAAUAUGGGGCAGGCAGGGAGGUUGGGGAUCUAAAAGCUGUCAAGUGUCAAACAUUAAAAAGAGGUCACUCCCUUUAUGCCAACACAGAUUAUGCAUUUUAAUAAACUAAGGCAACUCUUUUGCAUUUUUAUAUUUGAGAACCACUGGUUUGUGGGCCCUUCUGAUGGAGGUGAGCCUCUGGUUGUCUUAAUUCAUGUGCUAGAAGAGGCUUUCAUCUCCUGAUUCCAAACGUGGUCCACACCACAAUUGUUUGGGUCACCUAAAGGCACUCCAGAAGGGCAGUCUGCUCUGACUUCUCACACUCUCAGGAUUGUGCUGAGCCUCUGCAGUGAGUCUGGGCAUUAGGGACAGCAAGGACUUUACAUCAGCUCUGCCGAAACAUCUGGUGGCCCAACUGGCCACUAUGGAAUGGGAUUCUGAAAUGGGCAAUGGUGACCACCAUCUAAUCACUUCCCUUUAUUUUUUUAUGCAUGUUUUUACUUUGCUUUUCCAGUUCAGUGAAAUAAUUUAAUAGGUAGCUCUAAAAUAACUUUUUAUUUGUCUUCCCAAUGACAAGGUCACCAGGAUGUUUUAUUUUCAGAUUACCUUACCAGGAGUAAGUUUCCUGUCGUGCCCAUUUCAGGUUUUUCUUUAAGAUUUCUACUUUUUCCUGGUAGAUGUUUGUUCUACUGUGUUCUAGGGCCUGCUUUUGGAGUGAUACAAAGUAAUUCAGCUAGUGUUUAGGAAUAGGCAGAAUAGUUCUACCUGAAAGACAGGUAAGGUUUCCUGACAGAAAGAAAUCUCCAUGAUUAGAGAACAAAAGCAUCUAGUGAAUGCUUGGAUAACUAUGUUGUUACUUAGCAAGACUGCUAGCAUUUUAAAUGUGCCUAUAUGCAUUAAAUUUUUGUAGUAUCAUUUGAUGUUUUACUUUAAACAGAAGAGAAUAAACCAGUUGGCAGAUUCCUUGGAUUAGUAAAAUAGGCAAUGCCCACUUUAAAUAGCAGGUCAAUAUCUGCAAUCUAAAUGGGUACACCAUAUUUUUCAUUUGAGAAGCACCAAAUUCAGCUUGUGGCACCUGUGAUAUGUUCCAUUUGCCUUUCUCACCAUGGCCCUUAACGAAUCUCUGUAUAUUAACUGAACAUUUACUAUAGUAGCUGUUUUAAGUUCAUAGUUGUAUUACCUUAUUGAGUACUUACCAAAAACCUGUGAAGUCGGUACGAUUAUUGCCCAAUUUUAUAAAGGAGGAGAUUGAGAAGGAGAGAGCCUAAGUAACUUGUCAUACAGCUAGUAAGCGGUAGAACCGAAAGUUGGCAGAACCAGGCAACCUGACUCCAGAGCUGGGCACAUAAACAUUGCAAUGCAUUAUCUAAAAGCAAGUCACUCUCUAGAAUAAUUUUUUAAUAAGACUAUGAGAGACUGGCGGUUGUUAGAAAUCAUCUAAUUAGCUCCUGACAAGUCACAAGAUAGUUCACAUAAUCCCAGAACUCAUUUCACUUGACAAUACAUAGCACUCACUGUCUGCUUCUGAUAAAACUUAGGAAUAGCAUGAUGUCUGAGUAUUAUCUUCUUCCCCUGUAUUUCUUAGUUUUUGUAAAGUGAUUUUGAAUUGUGUUUUUCUGAGGCCCUAUAAUGGCAGGGAAAGGGGUUUGGAAGCACAUAUCUGGGCUCCCCCAGCUUGAACAUGAAUGGUGUUUAUAUGCUCCACAUCUUG
rnacentral:lncRNA from 1 species